rnacentral:lncRNA from 1 species
UUUCAUACUUAUAACCAAUAUAAACAUCAUUCUACAACCGUAAUAACAAAACUUUUAUACUUAACCUAUACAUCACCUAGGUACAUGCCACAUUAUCAAACAAAGGUACAUCACUAAAAUUUCUCUGAGGUCGGGACUACUCUGGAUGCUGGACCGAACACUGGAUUUCUACUAACCUGCGCACGGAAACAACCGUACGCUGAGCAUGGGAAUACUCAGUGGUAUUACUAUAAUUCAAAUUAAUAACAUUAAUCGGUAAAUUAUAUACAUUUAAUUUAUGUCUAUAAUUAUUCAUUAAUUAUCUCGUAAAUAAAACCAACUUGAUAAUUAAUAACAAUAAGCAAUAUUUCAAUUCUUGUAUUUAAUUGUAUUCAUACAUUAUUUCACUAUCUCAAUUCUAUUGGAUUUUUCAACAUCUCAUUCUAGUAACUCAUUCCAAUUUAUACAAAUUCAAUCACUUUAUCAACUCAUUCAUUAUCAUUUCUAUUUAUAUUCAUUUUAUACUUUUAAUCUUUUAAUAAUCAAAUUAAACGUUUAAACCAACAUGUUUCAAUAAUAAUAAUAACUAAUUUUAUAAAAUUUUAUUCAAAUUAACUCAUACACUAUUUUUUUUAUUAUUAUUUCAAUUUAUACCAUUAAUCUUUCAAUAAACAUUUCAUAUAUUAAAUCAACUUGUUUCAACAACAAUAAUAAUAAUAACUAUCUUUCAAUUCGAUUCGUUCAUUUUUAAAUCAAUUUACACAUAUAAUCUUUUAACACUCAAUUUAUACAUUAAAUCCAUAAAUAAAUUUCAAUAACUUGUAUUCAAUUAAAUUCACAUAUAAUUUCACUAUUCAAAUCAUUUAAUUUUCACUCCUCAUUUUUCAACAAAAGCUAUUUCAAAUUGCUUUUCUUCAUUUAGAUUUUACAUCAUCUCUUACUACCAAAAUCAUUUCAUGAAUUAUAUCAUUAUCUAUUUCUUGAACCCAUGGUUCAUACAUUUCAUUUUCUAUAUCUCAAUUUAAUCUUUCUUUUCGAUUCAUAUUCAAGAUCAUUCAAUAAAAUUUAUAUUAUCAAAAUUAUUCAUUUACCCCUAUUAACUUGACUCGGACUCUGACAGAUACGCGGAUUCCACCCAAACACACCAGAAUAUCCAACCAAAACACACCUGAAAUAAAUAUAAAUCCUCCAUAACACACCCAAUAUAUCAUAUCCUCCCAAACACACCAAUAAGGCAUUAAAUGCCUCUUCGGAUAAACCGAAGCAUAUAAUAACAUAAUCAUCUUCUCGGCCGAGCUACAAAUCUCCUCAUCACAUCACAAAUCCUAUGGCAUGCCAUUUGUAUCCAAUCUAGUCCGAUAAGUUAAUAGGGUAUUCGAAUCACAAUUCAAUUCAAUCACUUUCUCAUACUUUCAAUUCCAAUUUAAUCACAAUUUAAUUCAAUACAUUUUUUAUCUUCCAAUCAGUAUACCAUCAAAUGCUCAUACAUAUUUAUACUUCAUUUAAUUUCAUUCAAUUCACAUACGAUUCAAUAUCAUUUAAUUCAAUAUCAAUAUUCACCUUAUUUUUAUUUACUAAACAUAUUAUUCAAAAUUCAACAAUUGCUAUUAAUAAAUUCAAUAUCAAUACGUAUUUAUCAUUCAAUUCAAUCAUGAUACUUACUUCAAUUUGCUUAUCAUGUAUAUUAAUUUAAAUUUUAACAAUUAAUAAUUAAAUUCGAAUUAUGGUAAUACUAACCGUAAAUUUUCUCGAGUCACUCCUUGAUCACCUUCCCCUUUCCUUUCUCGGCAAUGACUCUUGCACGACAUUAGCUACGUAAUUAAACAAUUAAAAAUUAUUAAUACACAAUUUCAUUAAAAUAUUUCCAUUUAUACCUAAACUUUACCUAAAUUCUAAUUUAAUCCCUUAUCAAUACUAAUUUUAUUUUCCCAAUCUAACUCCAUAUGCUCUCUUAAUUCUUACUAUAAAUUCACUUUAACUCUUCAUUUUCACCAUAAAUCCUUAAUUUCGAAAUUCUCUCAAUUUAGUCCCUAUUAAUUCAAAGCCUAUAAUUUAUUUUACAAAUCAACCUUUUACUAACUUUUAACUUGAAAUUUAAUCAAUUUAACCCUUAAUUCUUUCAUUUAUUCAACAUAAUCAAUGUCUAGAAAUAUAAUAACUUCUCAAAUUUCAACAUAAAUCCAAUAAUACUUUGUUCUAGAAUACCAAAAACUAAAAAAAUUAUAAGAAAAUAACUUAAUUUAACUUACCAAUUAAGCUUGAAAGCUUGAAAUCCCAAAUUUUCUUCCUUUCCUUCCCUUUUUUUUUCUUUUUCUUUCCUUUCCUUCUUUCCUUCUCUGUUUCGUUUGCCUAUUCUGUU